rnacentral:rRNA from 1 species
UGGGGAAUAUUGCACAAUGGGGGAAACCCUGAUGCAGCGACGCCGCGUGAGCGAAGAAGGCUUUCGAGUCGUAAAGCUCUGUCCUAUGAGAAGAUAAUGACGGUAUCAUAGGAGGAAGCCCUGUCUAAAUACGUGCCAGCAGCCGCGGUAAUACGUAUGGGGCGAGCGUUGUCCGGAAUUAUUGGGCGUAAAGGGUACGUAGGUGGUUUUUUAAGUCAGGUGUCAAAGCGUGGAGCUUAACUCCAUUAAGCACUUGAAACUGAAAGACUUGAGUGAAGGAGAGGAAAGUGGAAUUCCUAGUGUAGCGGUGAAAUGCGUAGAUAUUAGGAGGAAUACCGGUGGCGAAAGCGGCUUUUUGGCCUGCAACUGACACUGAGGCGCGAAAGCGUGGGGAGCAAACAGG